rnacentral:tRNA from 2 species
GGGGCCAUAGCUCAGCUGGGAGAGCGCUACGCUGGCAGCGUAGAGGUCGACGGUUCGAUCCCGUCUGGCUCCACCA